CACGUAGGGGGCGAGCGUUGUCCGGAUUUACUGGGCGUAAAGAGCUCGUAGGCGGUUCGGCAAGUCGGGUGUGACAGCUCCAGGCUCAACCUGGAGAGGUCACUCGAUACUGCUGUGACUAGAGUCCGGUAGGGGAGUAUGGGAAUUCCCGGAUGUAGCGGUGAAAUGACGCAGAUAUCGGGAGGAACACCAGUGGCGAAGGCGGUACUCUGGGCCGGGAAC
rnacentral:rRNA from 1 species